CAGAGAAAGAAAAAAAAAAUAUUACAAAAAUUAUUAACCAAAGCACACUAGAAGUAACACCCCCGUCAUUCAUGGAACUUGUUAUUAGUGAUUUUUUUUUUAAAGGCAACGCAAUAAUUCACUGCCUGCUUUUCACUUUAAACUUUCUCGAUCGUACCUUCAUAAUUGUCCUGGCCCAUAUGCACUUCUUUGAGAGUGCAUACCAGUUGCAUAUACAUAUACGUGGACGGAGCGUAAAAGUCGCAGCAGCUGUGUGGCAUAGAAUAGACUCGAGUCGAGUCAUUCAGUGGAAAUCGAGACACGUAUUUGCGCAAUAAAAAUUACAAAAGAAAAAUUGAUCAACUGGAGUUCAACAUUCGUAUUAGCUAUAUGUACUAUAACUGUGCUCCUGUAAUCCGUGUACUCAUAGAGAAAAGUCUGUGGUUCUUAUAUCGCCAGUUCUCUUUUGCCUACUGUCUCUCUGUCUCUCUCUCUCUCUCUCUCUUAUUUUCUGACGCUCUCGUGCAUUUCUAACAGUUUCCGCUUUCGGAAUCGAGUAAGGAUCAGAGAUCCUCAUUGGUACAGUAGUAAAGCGAAGUAAGACUCUCUCAUUGAAAUUUGCAUGACAAUGGCUGAUUUGAUUUUUCGAUAGCACCGGAUAUCCUCGAUUACCUAUUUCUCAAUUAGAAACCCUCCCUAAUGAUGGAUUCAUUAUAUUCACUCGCGAACUAAUUCUAAGUGCUGAAACGAUAAAUACCAAGACUGUACCCGUGACCGCAUCGUCUCGCGCCAAUGGCGUCUCCGCUUUCGAUCAGGAGCAGUAAAAGUGCAAUAAAUUGUUUAAUUCCUCUAUCACUUCCGCUUCUUUUUUUACAUUCGUCUCAAUCUUUCCGAAUGAUCAACGUGGAUUCCCUCGUUACGCAUCGUCGACCGAUACAUUACCAAAUACGUGGUGAGCAAUUAAAUUGCGAUUAGGAUUAUUGUAGCGCGUCGAUUUCAGUAUAGACUAUAGUCUAAUAAUCUUGGACUAUGAAUAAAACUAGUUCUAAACGUGUUUCUUACGUGCUCUCAUAAUUACAUGGAUCCUUAUCAACGUGUCUCCCUGUAUAUUCUUUUUUCGUUCCUAUUACGCACGCGCCUGCUUGUAUGUCGCUACGUGUAAACGUUGCCUAACCUAAGUGUGAUCUGUCGCGUGAAUGUUAAAUGCCAGUGAAAUUGAUAGUCGACGAAAGUAAAGAAAGUUUUGGGCGUUGCGAUAUCUCGCGAUUUUGUAAACGUAUCAGACAGAAAGUAUUAACGGUUUGAAAUAUUAUGUUGCGGUGCUAGAAAUAAAAGGAUUUUGGUACCUGACACUUGUGCGGUACGCUGGCGUAAAAUCCAUCAUGGAGACCGUCGCAUUUGAAGUCAAUCUCUUCAGGCGUAGCAGCGAAUUUCAAAAUCGACUUCAGACGGAUUUAACUAACAAGAAGAUGCGACUGGAUUACAAAAUCGAUCUGACGCAAUUAUCCAGAUACGGCACGGAUACCUGGUAAUUGUUAUAAAAGAGGAUCAAGGCUGUUCAUGAUACAUCCAUAGAUUCAUCUACUGGAUCCUCUAUUCGAUCAAUCUUAUAAAGACAGUGUGGAGACACCUUUAGGAGGUUAGCAAGUGAAUGCACGACCUCGUCGAUGAAAACUCGCCUCCUACUCUUGUAACGGGAUUUACUUUUCCAUGGUGUAUAUAUACGGCCGUAGCCAUAGGAGCUAUGUGAGUAUUACUGUACCAAGUCGAUAUUGCAUACACAGGUGAAAAAAAAUCUGUAACGAGGGAGUCUGGGCUAAUGGUGUAUAAAAGUGAAUUAUGAGAAUGCCCCAUGAGGGGGGACCUCACAUUCCUAUCAUGGGAAGUAAUACCAGAGUAGGCGUGUAUGUUGCUCCAGUAGUUGUAUUGCCACAGGACUGUAUAAUUUCUAUGAGGAAAUGUUUGUUUGAUUACUGUUUCAUCACACUCCUUUAUAAUUUAUUAAUUAGAAUAAGUAGCAAACACAUCCUUAAGAUCCAUCUUAGCCAUUGAAAUCUAUCGUAGGAGUUUGCUGUAGGGCUUUUGAAUAAUUAUAAUAUGUGCUUCAGAGAGACAGGUUACUAAGUAUCUUGGUCACACAGACAUUUUAUUAAUGAAAUAAUUUAUUGAAAUUUUUUGCAGACGGUUGCACAGUAGUUUUCACUUUUAAACAAAAAUCAUAAUGAAAUAUUCCUUGAGGCGAAUGGAUGCAAAUGGUAUGAAGCAAGUAUUGGUAUUUAGUAUCUCUUUCUCUUUUAAAUUCUCUGCUAGUGUGAAAUGUCAGAAAGCACUUGAAUGUUAAGUCAAAUCACGUCAUCGAGUUUACGUUAAAUAUCAUGCAUGGCUAUUUUAGCCUAUGUACAUUUGUUUGAUGGGUGAUCAUCUUCGCUCUUGCAAAUUCUCCCUGGAUUUACUGUACAGCUUCAAGAUAAAUAUUCACUGUACCAAGCCUGUUCGAUGCAGAACAAAGGAUUGUCUUUUAUAUUCUUCUCAUACCUGAUGAGUCAGAGAGUCAAGUUGCAGGUGGAAUAAGCCAUGGAAACAUGGCGGUUACUGCAGGUGCAUGGUACAUGUAACGGAGCCAUACAAGAACACAAGAGAUCCUGUUUACAAUCGAUUCGACGCGAAUGACUCUCUUGCUGAUUUGCGCAACGAGACCUGAGGUUGUUAUUAAGUAGAACUAUGGCGACACAAUAGCAGGCGAGAAAAUCGUUGAUUCGAAACGGGGCGAAAGUAAUAGCAGCAUUCGUGUCGCUGUCAGUCGUCGAGAUAACUAAUGCAAAUUAUUAUCUAACAAUUAGGUCCAAUUCAUACGAGAGACAGCGCUAUAGAGAAGUGGAUAAAAAAGUAAUGGAUGGAAGCUUUAAAGUAUAUCGAAAAUAUUUAACGUGGAUCCAGAGGCAAGUCAAGAAGAAAGUUUUUGUAUUGACGUUGGCGUCUGAGAAUUUCGAAUCUUGAUUAUCAGAUCUAUCGUCUCCGUUAAAAACGAUUAACCGACCAUAACACGUCUGAGCGCAACAAAAUUCUCAACGUUCCUCUACAGCAUAUGGGAACGGAUAGAGGGACUUUCUCUGUGCUGUCACCACUGCUAACCAUAAUAUAAGGAUAAUGGGUGUUAUAUAAAUGCAGGAUCACGUAAUACCGGGUGAUACCGAUUGUCCCAAUGUUUUUGUUAAUAACCAAUCAAUACUUUUAGAUAGUUGUAUGGAUUUUUUCAACUGCUAGCUGUAGGAGUUCCUCAUCAGAAUAAUCAUCUAUCUUAUGAAGUACAUAGUAGCUGAUAAGUAUGUUGGCCACGCUGGUGAAAGUAUAACCUUGUAGCACGGAUCUGUUUUUUUGGAUUUGGAAUUUCAGUGUCCAUCUUCAUCAACUUCGUCCGAUCCAGUCUUUGUCCAAUCACUUGGCCGAAAGCUUACAUGGUUAUGAUGAUGGUGUAUGGUAUAAUAUCAGGAAUCGGAACGAUAGGUAGAGUGUAUAAUGGCGGGUGAGGCGAGAGGAGAAGAAAAGUGAAAUGACGAACUGCAGUCGAAGAUGUAGGACACAAGCGGUUAAUCAGCCACCGUGGCGAAUUCUCGCAUUAAUUAGGAAGUAAGCACCGCGCUCCAGUUCGCAGACAAUUAUUAAACGACGUAAAAGCUAUAGAGAAGGAGAAGCAGCCUCGUUGCAGACGCUUGGAAAGAUGUGAAGGCUAUUGCACAAGAUGUAUCUCUAAGUUAUUCAUUUCAGUUGCCACUUCUUUGUAGAGCAAGUGAAUGACACAUUCUUAAAUUGGAUUAGAGGGAAGUGAAGGAUGAUAAGCAUUAGAAAGCGACAAAGACUUUAGAACGCGUGGUGAUAACAUCCGGCGUACGGCGAGAAUCGUCCAAAUCUAAGAUGUCGCUUGAGAAUUUUUAGGGUCUUUCAGUAUAUUCGUUGAAAAUGAUAGAAAAAAAUAUGCAUGCGACCGAAGAUUCUUGCGUCAUUCUAUGCUCGAUGGUAUGAGCGACGUUGUGUUGAAGUUACGCCAUACUACAUAACGGUUAAUACGAAGGAGUCGCAAAGGUUACCGGAAGUCACGUGUGUCAGCGUGAUCAAAAGAUUGACAAAUUUUUUAACGAAUCUCAACAGCUGCUUACCUCUUUUUUAGACGGAUUAAGUAAUUACCGAUGUCUAGAAAACCGUAGGAUAUUGUUUAGCUCGUACAAUUUCUUCGCAAAUGUUUGAAUUGUUUAAAAAUUUUUUUUUUUAACUAAGUCAAGAAUUCGGGGUUUGUCUCUAUCUUUUUUUUGUCUGCUGUUAUUUCGAGAAUAUAUAUUGAAAUACUGGAAUCACAAUGCUUGGCAAAAGGCGUGGUUAAAAUACUUGAUAGCCUUCAAAAGCAUUGCGGGGCUGGCAGUCCCGCCGUAGGCUGCCUUACAGCCAGUAGCUUUCAUUUCCUUGUAUACUGUAGAAACAGCACCCAGUUUGUAUAAGACUUUGCUUGUUCUUGUAUAUCUUGUUAAUAAACUUACUAGCGUAAGUGCGAUAAUAUAGCAAUGACGUUGACUAGGUAUGAGGAUGAACCCUGUUAUGUAAAAAUGAUAGAUAUUUUUCUCUGGUACAAAAUCCAUUGGUUUCCUACAUGGAAACUUUUCCCUGUUACAUACCAAUGUAUUCUUGCAUAACGUAAACAAAAAAAGGAACAAUGAAGAUACUUGGCCUAAAAUACAAUAAGUAUAACGUGCACAUAUUUUGAGUAUACUGUACCUAGUACGUAGGGAGAAUGUAUAUUGAAAUUGAUAACUGAUUUUUUUUUAUUUACGUUACCAGUUUAUCGAUUGUCUCGUGAAGGCCAGAUCGACUUUGGCCGAAAGAAAAAUAGAGCAAGUAUGUAUCUUAAUGUCUCUUUUUUUUAGUCCGCUUCAUUCUCACCCGCCAAUCGCUGCAUAGAGAGUAACCGUCCUGUAUGCGUGCGGCCUUGUGCGAGAAUACUCGAAAGCGUUGCUCGUAAUCCAUUUCUACGCUUUUCAUUAGCAAACAUAGUUCUCGUAAUUAACCACUAGAAAGAGCGUUACAUUUUUCCCUCAUAUUUUUGCAUUUAUAUUCAAAUAAGACGCGCGCGCACGCAAAUGCACAAGUUACGAAAAAACAGGGGGUUUCCCGGAUUCUCAUGUGCGCGCAUCCACUGCAGCCGUGCGCGCGCAAGCGAUCAUCACCUCGCUGAUUUAUCAUGUCAAGGCGGCGGGAUGGGCGUAUUAAAAUUUUAGUGAAAGAAAAAAAGUUGAAGGAAGAGGUGUAAACAAUGGGCAAACGUGUACGGGAUAUUUGGUAAUUUCGAAAAAAACGAAGGACCACCCACUCUGCCAUCUAGAAUUUGAUUAGUCAUGGCUGAACGGAAUUCCAACGGCAUUGUCGUGGAAUGGAUUUCAAUUAAGUUAACGAAUAUGAUACCGUUCAUCCAAUGGACAAAGAUUAUAACGCACAAUGAAAAUGCUUGGGAUUCGCUUAACUCGUACCGUUAUACCAUUCUUACUGUAGUCGUAAUACAGGCAGGAUGAUCAGGCGUUCCUCGAUUCUCGGACAUUGACCACUAGCAGUGCUUAUUUCUCGUUUCAAAAAGUCCCACGCAAAAUGGUCACGUCUACUUCUAUGUUUAACCGAGCGUAAACAUUUUUUUCAACAAUCCAGUCUCUGUUGUAUAAUACCACAAGGCUGUACAGUAAAUUACACUCAAGCUAACAGACGGAGAUUUGAAAUUCAGCGCUUUUCCCAUAGAUGUCGCUGCGAGCGCUGCCAGCGCUGACGUCAAAGUUACCUGUCUGUCUAUUGCCAAAUUUCCAGUACACUUUACUUGGAAGUGAAAUUUCUUUGAAAUCACGUAGAAUUGCAUUGACACACAUACAUUUUUUAAAAAAUAAAUUCUUCACAAGUGCGACUCGAUACAGGAAUACAGGAUACAUUCUAGGAAGUAUACAUCCCGUGGAAAAAUGGUAACAAAAUAAGGAAGCCCGGCUUCCUGGCGGUGUUAAUUCACUUUCGAACGGUCGAAAGUGAAUGCGAGCAUUAGAAUACAUUAGCAUCUACUCGGAAGCAAGAAGGUUAUGAAGGAAUAAUACGAUGGAUACUCCUACACGUUAAAUGGAUUCUGUAACGUUGAUACUUGCAUUCUAAAAUCUUCGAGUUUUAUUACGUUCAUUCAAAACUCUACAAAUGGAUCCUGCCUAUUGGCGAUCGAAAGUCUGUCUGGAAAGUUUUGGACUCGUUAAUUAAAAGCAAAGAAGGCGGUCUUCUGGUGCUCGCCUGUGUUAAGACAGUUUCUCAACACUGAAAAUGAGAUGCUUCCUCUAGUCUUCAGAAUGAAAGUAAACUUCAAGGCGAAUGUGGUAAAGAAACAACUACUUAAAAAUUAUCAGCGAUACUGGACAAGCGAAAGUUUCUUCUUCUUGUGUCGAUUUCUUAAAAAAAGUCUCUGUCGCCCACGUUGAAAUACCUACCAUCCUCACCAAUAGACCUAGUGCAACAGCGGCAAAAGGACUUGACCGAAUACAUGUAACAAUGGCUAAAGGAAAUAGAAAAGGAAGAGGAAGAAGGUAAGAGAGAAAAAAAUAAAACACAAACCUUUCUCUCAGCCGUGGCCGUCCUCUCUCAAUCCCUCAUGAGACUUAUUUUCUAAGUCUCG